UACGAAGGGGGCUAGCGUUGUUCGGAAUUACUGGGCGUAAAGCGCACGUAGGCGGACUAUUAAGUCAGGGGUGAAAUCCCGGGGCUCAACCCCGGAACUGCCUUUGAUACUGGUAGUCUCGAGUCCGGAAGAGGUGAGUGGAAUUCCGAGUGUAGAGGUGAAAUUCGUAGAUAUUCGGAAGAACACCAGUGGCGAAGGCGGCUCACUGGACCGGCAUUGACGCUGAGGUGCGAAAGCGUGGGGAGCAAACAGG
rnacentral:rRNA from 1 species